GGCCUCCCUCUGUGGGGCAAUCAAUUGUGGGGGUCCGCAAUUGAUGGCUCUGUAGAGGGAGGCC
rnacentral:pre_miRNA from 1 species